rnacentral:rRNA from 1 species
AGCGUUUGAUCCUAGCUCAGGAUGAACGCUAGCGACAGGCCUAACACAUGCAAGUCGAGGGGCAGCGGAGAGGUAGCAAUACCUUUGCCGGCGACCGGCGCACGGGUGAGUAACACGUAUGCAAUCCACCUGUAACAGGGGGAUAACCCGGAGAAAUCCGGACUAAUACCCCAUAAUAUGGGCGCUCCGCAUGGAGAGCCCAUUAAAGAGAGCAAUUUUGGUUACAGACGAGCAUGCGCUCCAUUAG